rnacentral:rRNA from 1 species
AUUGAACGCUGGCGGCAGGCUUAACACAUGCAAGUCGAGCGAGCGGCGGACGGGUGAGUAAUGUCUGGGAAACUGCCUGAUGGAGGGGGAUAACUACUGGAAACGGUAGCUAAUACCGCAUACCAUCAGAUGUGCCCAGAUGGGAUUAGCUGGUAGGUGGGGUAAUGGCUCACAUAGGCGACGAUCCCUAGCUGGUCUGCGAGGAAGACCGGCCACACGGGAAGUGAGACACGGUCCAGACGCCUACGGGAGGCAGCAGUGGUGAAGAUUGCACAAUGGGGGAAAGCCUGAUGCAGCAAUGCCGCGUGUGUGAAGAAGGCCUUCGGGUUGUAAAGAACUUUCAGCGAGGAGGCGUUACUCGCAGAAGAAGCACCGGCUAACUCCGUGCCAGCAGCCGCGGUAAUUC